rnacentral:lncRNA from 13 species
UGUCAAAAAGAAAAAUAGGCUGAGUUAAGGAAGGAUUCCAAGGAUACUGGAAUUUCAGUGGAAGAAUGAAAAUCACAUUGGAAGCAAUGAAGAACAGAAUUGACUUAGUGGAAAAUUAAAACAGCCAUGCUUAGGGGGAAAAAAUUCUUUAAAAUAUCUUCUAUUGCAGAGCAAGCUAAAAGAGAGUAGUACGGAUGUUGAAGACAGAGGGCAGAGCUCUGCCAGGGUCUUCAAGAUGGAGUCACUCUGUCGCCGGGGCUGGAGUACAGUGGCAUGAUCUCGGCUCAUUGCAACCUCUGCCUCCCAGGUCAAGCAAUUAUCCUGCCUCCGCCUCCCGAGUAGCUGGAAUUACAGGUGCCUGCCACUACACCCACCUAAUUUUUUAACUUUUUAGUAGAGACAGGUUUUCACCAUGUUAGCCAGGCUGGUCUUGAACUCCUGUGACCUCAUGAUUCAUCUACUUCGGCCUUCUAAAGUUCUGGGAUUACAGGCAUGAACCACCAUGCCUGGCCUAAAUGAGUUUCUUAUAUAUUUUGGCUAUUAACUCCCGAUCAGACAUAUGGUUUCCAAAUAUGUUCUCACAUUCUGUAGGUUGCCUUUUCAUUUUGUUGUUUCCUUUGCUGUGCAGAAGUUUUCAGUCUGAUACGGUCAAUUUGUUUAGUUUUGCUUCUGUUGCUUAUAGUUUUGUUGCUUGGUGCCUGUAGCCUUUGUGUCGUAUCCAAAAAAUUACUGCCAAAGCCAAUAUCAUGAAGAUUUUUUCCUCUAUGUUUUCUUUGAGAAGUUCAACAGUUUCAAGUAUUAUAUUUACAUCUUUAAUCAAUUUUGAGUUAAUUUUUGUGAGUGAUACAAGAUAAGGGUCUAAUAUUCUUUUGCAUGUGGCUAUCCAGUUUUCUCAUUAUUUUUUGUGAGCAAUACAAGAUAGGGGUCCAAUUUUAUUCUUUUGCAUAUGGCUAUCCAGUUUUCUUAUCUUAUUGAGAGACUGUCCUUUCCCCAUUGUGUAUUGUUAGUGCUCUUGUCAAAUAUUAAUCGGCCAUAUGUAUAUGGGUUUAUUUCUGGGCUCUCUUGCCUAUUUCAUUGGCCCAUAUAUGCCAGCACCAUGCUGCUUUGAUUACUAUAGUUUUGUAAUAUAGUUUGAAGUGAGGAACUGUGAUGCCUCCAGCUUUGUUCUUCUUUUUCAAGAUUGCUUUGGCUAUUUGGAGUCUUUUCUUGUUUCAUGUGAUUUUUUAGAAUUGUUUUUAACAUUUCUAAAAAUGCCCUUGAAAUUUUGAUCAGGAUUGCAUUGCAUCUAUAGAUCAUUUUGGAUACUGUAGAUAUUUUAACCAUAUUAACUUUUUCAACCUGUGAACACAGAAUAUAUUUCCAUUCAUUUGUCUCUUCUAUUUAUUU